rnacentral:rRNA from 1 species
AUUGAACGCUGGCGGCAUGCUUUACACAUGCAAGUCGAACGGUAACAGGGAGCUUGCUCCGCUGACGAGUGGCGAACGGGUGAGUAAUGCAUCGGAACGUACCGUGUAAUGGGGGAUAACGUAGCGAAAGUUACGCUAAUACCGCAUACGCCCUGAGGGGGAAAGUGGGGGGACCGCAAGGCCUCACGUUAUACGAGCGGCCGAUGUCGGAUUAGCUAGUUGGUGGGGUAAAGGCCUACCAAGGCGACGAUCCGUAGCGGGUCUGAGAGGAUGAUCCGCCACACUGGGACUGAGACACGGCCCAGACUCCUACGGAGGCAGCAGUGGGGAAUUUUGGACAAUGGCGCAAGCCUGAUCCAGCCAUGCCGCGUGAGUGAAGAAGGCC